rnacentral:sRNA from 1 species
AUAUCUCUCUGUACGGGAAGGAUGAGAAGCUUCGACUAAGGUUCGAUUCGAGCGAAAGCGAGAAAGCGUUGC